rnacentral:tRNA from 1 species
GCCGAGAUGGCGGAAUUGGCAGACGCGCCAGCUUGAGGGGCUGGUGACCUUUACGGGUCGUGCAGGUUCAAGUCCUGUUCUCGGCA